UAUUAAAAAUUUCAUUCAUUUCUAUUGUUAUAAACUAACGUAACUGACAGAAUAGCUGAACAUUACAUGUGGAGUGUCUCGCGUAUCUUAUUUUGAUAUACAAAUACUAAUUUUUAACGGUAUAAAUUUAUAAAAUUUUUAAUA
rnacentral:pre_miRNA from 1 species